GAUGAACGCUGGCUGUGUGCCUAAUACAUGCAAGUCGAACGACCACACAAUGAGCUUUCUCCUCUGCCGUUAGCGACUGACGGUUGAGUAACACGUACAUCACCUUCUUCUUUUACUUGGAUAACUUCUUGGAACCGCUUACGCUACUCGCUCAUAUAUUCUACCGCAUGUUUCAAUAGUUCUUCACGGCUUUGCUGUUUUUUUUAGCUGAUUUCGCGUCAGCUUAGCUAGUUGGUAAGGUACCUGCUUACCAAGGCUACGAUGCGUAGCUGACCUGAGAGGGAGAUCAGACACACUGGAACUGAGACACGGUCCAGACUCCUACGGGAGGCAGCAGUAGGGAAUAUUCCGCAAUGGGCGAAAGCCUGACGGAGCAACGCCGCGUGAGUGAAGAAGGUCUUCGGAUCGUAAAACUCUGUUAUUAGGGAAGAAAAAAUGUGGAAGAAAAGAUGCACGUCUUGACGGUACCUAAACAGAAAGCAACGGCUAACUACGUG
rnacentral:rRNA from 1 species